rnacentral:tRNA from 5 species
GGACUCGUGGUGUAGCGGCCAAACACACCUCCCUGUCACGGAGGAGAUCGCCGGUUCAAAUCCGGUCGGGUCCG